CGCAUCUGUGCAUGCAGCAUAUCAAUAAGCGGAGGAAAAGAAACUAACAAGGAUUCCCUUAGUAACGGCGAGUGAAGCGGGAAGAGCUCAAAUUUGAAAUCUUAAAGGGUUUCCCUUUACGAAUUGUAGUUUAAAGAAGUGUUUUCUGUUGAGGUUUUGGUAAAAGUUCUUUGGAAUAGGACAUCAUAGAGGGUGAGAAUCCCGUAUUUGACCUUUACUUUCAACUUUGUGAUACACUUUCAAAGAGUCGGAUUGUUUGGGAAUGCAGUCCAAAAUGGGUGGUAAAUUUCAUCUAAAGCUAAAUAUUGGCGAGAGACCGAUAGCGAACAAGUACCGUGAGGGAAAGAUGAAAAGAACUUUGAAAAGAGAGUUAAACAGUACGUGAAAUUGUCAAAAGGGAAGCGUUUGACACCAGUGUUGUUUUUCUGAAAAUCAAUUAAAGAACUGUUUAUGCUAAGUUGUUUAGACUUUAUCAGCUAUCUGCUUAGUUUUGAGCUUUUCUUUAAUGCACUUUUCAGUUAACAAGUCAACAUCAAUUUCUUUUGCUGUAAAAAAGCUUGAGGAAGGUGGCUUGAGAUUCGUCUUAAGUGUUUAUAGCCUCUUGCCUAUGCAGUCGGAGAGAUUGAGGUCUGCAGCGUAGAUCCUUCGGGGCUAAAUACAUUUGUGCUAAGUUAUAGCAUUUUAUAGACAACUUGUUGACUAUGAUUUGUCUUGUAGCUUACUCGCUUAUGUUAUUUUACCUACGCUUAGGAUGUUGAGCGCAUGUCUCUCUCU
rnacentral:rRNA from 1 species